rnacentral:rRNA from 1 species
AUUGAACGCUGGCGGCAUGCCUUACACAUGCAAGUCGAACGGCAGCACGGGUGCUUGCACCUGGUGGCGAGUGGCGAACGGGUGAGUAAUACAUCGGAACAUGUCCUGUAGUGGGGGAUAGCCCGGCGAAAGCCGGAUUAAUACCGCAUACGAUCUACGGAUGAAAGCGGGGGCCCUUCGGGCCUCGCGCUAUAGGAUUGGCCGAUGGCUGAUUAGCUAGUUGGUGGGGUAAAGGCCUACCAAGGCGACGAUCAGUAGCUGGUCUGAGAGGACGACCAGCCACACUGGGACUGAGACACGGCCCAGACUCCUACGGGAGGCAGCAGUGGGGAAUUUUGGACAAUGGGCGAAAGCCUGAUCCAGCAAUGCCGCGUGUGUGAAGAAGGCCUUCGGGUUGUAAAGCACUUUUGUCCGGAAAGAAAUCCUUGGCCCUAAUACGGUCGGGGGAUGACGGUACCGGAAGAAUAAGCACCGGCUAACUACGUG